GAGACUGAAAUUUCAGCUUUGGAGAAUAAGGGACUGCCUGUGAUAUGGCCCAUUUCUGAUCAUGUAGGGCCUGUAACUACGCUCCUCUGAUCUGAAUUCUGAUCUGCCAGCUUUCAGAGUUCAGUUUGUGUCAUCUUUUCCAAAUUUCCAAUAGUGUCCUUGGCCGUUCAUCGAAAUUUUCCAAGACCAAAAUCAAGGACUUUUGGAGGACGUUGAAUAAUGUUCUUUUUUUUUUUUUUUUUUUUUUUUAAUUUUUUUUUUUUUUUUUUUUUUUUUUUUUUUUUUUUUUUUUUUUUUUUUUUUUUUUUUUUUUUUUUUUUUUUUUUUUUUUUUUUUUUUUUUUUUUUUUUUUUUUUUUUUAAAAAAAAAGGGUAUUUUUUUUUUUUUUUUUUUUUUUUUUUUUUUUUAUAUAUCGACGUUGAAUAAUGUUUGCUCUUGCAUAAUGCAUGGUUCCCGAGACUAAUGUAUUUUCUAUUUUUUAUUUUUUUAUUACCCCUAGCUAGCUACUAUGAAAAAUGAAAUUAGCCCUUGUCGAAAAAAAUCCCAACAAGGGCACACUCUUCGCUUUGCCUUUAGAAAAUCACAAGUGCAAAGCCUUUUCUUGCUUUAUGCCAUGACUGUAUGUCGUGUGCAUUCUCUUGUUUUGUUCAGCAUCAAGUAGGGGUGGUAAAAAUAUUCGCCCUGUCUGAACUCGGACGGCACCCAAGCGUUGUGCGUUGGGUAAUACUCGGUUCGGGUAUGAGGUCAGGUCAUUCUUGAGUAUCACUUGAUAAAUUAAGAAUCCGAAUUUUAUUAAAAAAAUAUUAUAAAAUAUAUAAAACCAUUCUGUCUGCUGUACCGUAGAUCCGCCUUGGCCGUACAGCAGGUCAAAUUUUAUUGAAAUAAAUUUAAAACUUAUAAAAUUAUAAAAAAAAUAAAAAAAUAUACAUAUAUAAUAUUAAAAAAUAUAAAAUCUAAGUACCCAGAUUAAAAUCUGAUCCAUGCAUAUAAAAAUUGCAUCUGGGUCCAGUCCGAACAUUGUGAUACCCGAAUCCAGAUUUUACCGAUCCUAGCAUCAAGGACGACAAAAAAUUUAUGUUUAUGUAAAUUAUUUCAUUAGGGAAAAAAAAUCUAAUUUUGGAUUUUACGUUUCCCCGUCUCUACAUGAGACUCAUUCCUCCCUUGUAAAAUAUUUAUAAUUAUGAGAUAAAUCUCAACUGUUUGAUCAUCUCUAUAUACGAGACUCAUUCGUCUCUUGUAAAAUAUUUGUAAUUAUGAAAUAAACCUCAAUUAUAUUAUGCGUAGAUUUUGUGUGCUAUUCAACAAACUAUUGAACUAUUUUAUCUUUGUAUGAAUUUAAGAGACUGCGGAUUAACCUCAAAUUGCCAAUAAUUACUAUUUUGCGUGUCAGAAGAUUGUUUGGAGCAACAAAUUCAAAGAUGAUCCUUUUUCAUCAAUCAAUUGUUGUCCGAAUACACCCCUGACCCUCCACCCAAUCAAAGCCGGCGUAUCAUAUGUUCAGUUAAUCAUUGUGAAAGAGUAGGUCCCACAAAGAGUCAUCAUAGACCCCCAACUUGCCCUGGUGUCGCUCUGUCCCACACUUGAAAAAGAAAAAUAAGUCGGUUUAAAGAUUCCGAAUUGCAAUUGUCAAUUGCAAGUAAAUUAAAGAAGGAAGCUUCUCAUCUCAACUCAAUCUCUUAUGUCAUCAAAAGAGGAGUCCCCCAUGUGUCAUGCCAAAUUUGCCACCAAGUUUGGCAUUAUAUAUGCGGAGAAAUUCAAACCCCGGGAAAGAGAAAAAAAAAAAAAAGAAAAAAAAGGCGACACUUCUGAAAAGAAAAUGAAACAACAAUUUUAAGCUUAGUGGACGGGUGCAUUUUUAUUUUAGCCCCACGUGUCCAAAACCAGCAAAGCAAAAAGCUGACCAACGGCCGUGCCGCCCUCAAUCACAAACAAAACAAAGGAAGCAGCCACGAGAAGUCUUUAUCACCCACAAUUCACAUACCCCACUUUAAGUUUCGGUCCUAUCUCUACCUCAUGCAUGUGCCAUUGCCAGUUAAAGUAUUCUAAUUCCAGUGCCAUUGCCAGUUAAAGUAUUCUAAUUCCAGUACCAUGCCAAUUUAGCAUGUCCUUUUGCUGGAAGCUUCAAGAAUCAAAACUGAAAAACUGCAUUAACGGCCUGCUUCUACCAUUCUAAGAAUAUCUAUUCUACAAUCUACAACACAAACUAUUCAAAUAGAUGGAUUUUAGGACAUGCAACAUUUACUUACUGGUUUUCUAACCUACACCAGAAGAAGAGUUGCCACUGAUGUUGCACUAAUGUGAUACUAGUUUCUGAAUAAUCAAUGUUCACUACUCGUACUUCCUACUUGUGUUGUGUCCCAAUUGUUCAACACAAUACUUCGAAUGCACAUUUUGCUUACUGAAAUUCUUGCCGCACAAAUCAUGAAUCAUUGCUCAUUGCCCCUUUGGGAAUAGUAAUCAUUCAAACACUAAAAGUCAGUUCUGUUCUAAAACAAGCAAAGAGUCGUGGAGGUGAAAAAAUUGAAAAAAAUUGAAUGUCGUAGUCUUACGAAAUCACAGGUAGAGCUUCAUCAAGGCUCUUUUUUUUUCUAAAUUAUAUAAGUUGAGCUUUGAGAAAUAUUUUAAAUGAGAAACCACGUUAGCGUCGAUGAGGAUGGGAGCUAUUAGCUCAACUUAUUGACCCCAUUUAAACCAUCUGAAAAUGAAUCAACUGUAUAAACUUGAAGCCCUCUAGUCCGUCCAGGUGCUCCGCCUUUCAGUGAGGAUACAUCCAAAACCAUUCUGUAUUACAUAUAGAUUGGUUAGUAUAGAAUCCAAUCAUCAGGUACUUCAUCAAAAAAAAAAAAAAAAGGAAGCAGCUUACAAGUUCUUUGAUGUUUUUCCUUCAGCAGCCCCACACUUUAUGAUGACUUUGUUAUCAGCUUUUGAUACUGAAUGAUCAGCUGGCAAAUCAAUCCCUUUGGGUGCUGAAAUAACAUAUUUAGAUAUAUUCAACAUCUAUUUAAAGAAUAAAACAAAAUAAGAGCAUGGAUAAUAGAGGGGCUUUUCUUACAGGUUUGAUGGGUUGCAGCAAUACUCCCAUCAAGUCCCAAGAGUUUCUAUACAAAGCAGAGAUGUCAAAUCAGGAUAUUUAACAAAAAGAAAUAUAAUAAGAUUAUCAGAAAUUUGCAUUAAACAGUAGCAAAUUACCUUAAGGUUCUCGUAACACUCUUCAAGUUUAUCAUUGUACAAUAUAUGAUCAAAGAUGCCGGAGGAUUUCCCUUGCUCAAUCUCUUCCUUGGCAUUUCUGAGUCGUUUUAGGAUCUGAUCCUCUGUCUCAGUUCCUCUGUUUACAAUAUUAAAAGUUGGAACCAGUACAGGGAAGAAUUGGAAUGAUAUAAGAUCGAACUCAGUAGCAGUAUUUACCUUGCACGGAGGCGCUCCUCAAGCUCCUCCAUUGAAGGUGGACAGAUAAAUAUGAAAAUAGCAUCAAGAGGACUCGCCCUCACAGACCUCGCCCCUUGAACAUCAAUAUCAAGUAUGCAUCUCUGCAAUCAAAACAGGAAAAAGAAACAAAAUUGAGUUUGCAAGCACAAAUAGUUUCAAUUUAUCAACUAAAGAAGAGCUGUCUUACGGUAUCCCUUGAUAUGGCUUCUACAGUCACUAAACUAAAAUAAAAAAUCAAUUAUAUUCCAUAACCUCUGAAAGCAUACAUGAAUAGCCUCUUCAAUACUUAAACCAAAAGAGGCACUAAUGAACGAUAUAACUAAAAACAUUUAACCAAUUUCAUAAAAUAGAUUUCGAUAGAACCACUAAUGAAUGCUUUUAAUAACAUUGGCAAAGUAUAGAUAGUGUAAUGUGAAAUUGGUGAAUUUGAAAGUUGCUGUUCCACUGCAACGUGCCAAAGACAAGAACACCUUGGUCCCAUGUCUGACAUUCCAUUUUUGUGCUUAAGUGUCAUUAACAAAGAUAAAAAAAAUAUAUGGCCGUUCUGUUUACCUUUCCAGCAUCUGCUACCGCCUCCACAGCUUCAACACUGGUUCCAUAAAGAUUUCCAUGAACAGAGGCAAACUCAAGGAAUUUACCAUCUUUUAUUGCUUUCUCCAUAACACUUCGCUCGGUAAAGUGGUAAUGCACCCCAUCUUUCUCCAUGGCCCUUGGGGCACGAGUUGUGUGGCUCACAGAGAAUCCAAACAUGGAUGGAAAUUCCUUCAUGAGCAUUGAUAUCAAUGUACCCUUGCCUACUCCAGAAGGACCAGUAAUAACAACUGGUUUCUCAACAUUGCCGAUCACACCUUUACUCCAGGCAACAACCUCAGCCCCUACCACUUUUUUCUGCUCUCUAACGUAUGGAGUGUCCACCUAACAGUAUUUAAUAGAACCAAACACGUAAAUAACAAGAAAAUCAAAAGUGUUUCUAAUCAUAAAUGCCAUUUAUUUGCUUUGCCCCCAAAUUAAACAAAGUCUCAACAAACUGAGGAAUAGCCUAAGUCCUCAAAAUCUAACCUCGAGAAACCAAAGGCAGUCAUCUGAGCUUGAACCCUUCUUGAUAACCAAAAUUCGGUCUUCAUUAAGAAGUACAGCUGAAUGGCCUUUACAUGGCCUGGGCUCUAUUCCCCGCACAGCAGGAAUCAACCUGCAAAUAUUACCAGAAAUCAAUUAAACCAAACUACUAAACCAAACAAACCAAAGUAAAAACAUAGAUGGAGCUACAAGCUCACCAGUUUCCAGUAGAUCUGUCAUAAAUCUUAACUCCAAUUGAUUCAUCAGACCCAGCAAUGACAUACUGUCAAGAAAUUGUGCAAAGAAUCAUUAAUUGAUGGGAAAAUUAACGCAAAGGGCUCUUAAAAAACACUGCAUCAACAUAAUGAGUUAUCUUACAGUUUUGUCACCAAUGACAGUGGUCGUUUCACAGUCUCUGGACUUUAAACUAAAGCCAUUUGAAAAUCCAUUACCCCUCUGCAGAUUAUCCACAAUGAAAGCUGGAGCUUCCCCCUAAUGAACACAAACCAGCACGUACAAGAUCACUAAAAAGAAAAGCAAUCCAUUUUGAUUCUUGAUUUCCACCAAUUGCUGAAUUACAUUCAAGAGAAAAUGCCACUUCUUUCUUAAUUUUCGUCAGUUUGAUUCAAAUGACAAACCAAAAAAAAAAAAAAUCAUGAUAAAAAAGCUCACCAUGGAGAAUCUAUGCCUCCAAUACAGGAUUCAGCCUGAUCAAUACAACAUGGAGAUAUAAAAAUAUCAAAUCAAAAGUAGACUUAGAGAUCCUAGAUCUAGCAAUUAACAUAAAUGUACAAGCUUGAAGGGACAUAAAGUGCACAGAUUACAUUAAAGCAAAAUAAUAAAAAAGCCCAUGUCUAUGUCAACAAAACUGUGAGCAAAAAUCCAUCAAAUCAAAAUAGACUCCAAAAAUUGAAACCCAUUUGCCCACAAAAAACCCCCAUAUCAAAACGGAACAACUAAUUAGAAACCAUCCAAUUUUAGAAUUCUCAGAAAAUCAUGUCUUAAUUAUAAAAACAAAACAAAACAAAAACCUAAAAUCUGUUCAUCAAACCCGCCAUUGACACAGAAAACCAAUGCACCAAAAAUUAUUUAGAAAAAAAAAGGCCAUGUGAAACAAUAACAAGAAGCCAGCAGAAACAAUAACAAAACAGAAAAACAGAUAGAAAAAGCCGCGUGAUUACCUGGGUAACAAGCAAAAUACUCACUUGCUUAAAGAAACACAAAGCUUCAAGCGCUUGCUCAGUUAUGUAUGUAUUUAUACAACACAAAAAAGGAUUAAAAAAAGGAUUUUACGGUUGUCUUUGUGUUGUGGUGAGGUUGAAGAGGAGAAGGAGUGUGAUUCUGUUAAAGAAGAAGAAACUUGGUAUUGAAAAAAUCAAAAGAAUUAUAAUAAUAAAUAUAAUAAGCGAAGCUGCAAGAAAAUAUUGCGAGCGUUUUCAUAUUUAAAGCGGUGGUGGCUUUUGGGUCGCAUUCAAUUCAAAAACAAAGACCGGCCCUCUUUUUCUGUGAGGUGCUUACGAAGCUUCUCUUUAUGUUUUUUUCCCUUUUUUUUUUAAAUAUAUUUAUUUUUUCGGAAAAAGGGAUCUCUUAUUAUGUUAUUAGGAGUCUUACGAGUUCUAGGGUUUAGUUGUUGGGUUGCUUGUAGGUCAUGAAGAUUAUUGAUUUGUUAAGAUUAUGAUUUAUCCGACAAAGGCAAGAGGAGUUCAGAUUCUAUUUGAGUGGGAUAAUGACACCUAUGUCGUUGUUCGGCAUAUGUUCAUCCUACUUCCAUAUUUAUUAUCUCAUUUUAUCAUUUUAUUUUAUGUUCGAAGAGACUUUUUUUUUAUUACAUGAAACUAUUGUUUAAAAUUAUAAGGGAUUUUUUUUAUUACAUGAGACUAAUACUUAAGAGUACAACUCAUAUUACAUGAUACUGUAAUUGAUAUUUAUAAAUUUUCUCACUAAUAAUCGAGGGAUAUUUACUCCACCUACAUUUCGUAAGAAAAAAAAACAAGAAGACCAACUUCCACUCAAAUUUUUAAGACAGAAAUCAAGUUCCGAACUCAAGCUCUCAUAAUGUGUGAGAGCUUGAGUUCUAACACUCAGCCAAAGGCCGAGUGGCUAUACUCGAAGGGACUUGAUCGAAUAUUUUCAAGUAUUUGUUUUUAGUCAACAUUUGAUUUCAAAUUUUAGACUUUAUUCAUAUUUUACAGCUCACGUGGGUACGGAUAAUAUUCAAUUGUCAUUACGUUGAUUAAGAUUUAAAAAAAAAAGAUUCAAUUGCCAUUGGGUUUAUUAAAAAUAAAUAAAAAUGUAGACUGAGUCGAACUCGAACUUGAUUUAAAUCUUAAUCAUCGUUUGCUCCAGCGAUUAGUGGAAAGUGUUAUCAAGAUCUAGGUUUUGAGUUUAAAUAAUACAAAAUAAAGAUAUAAAUUUUGGUCGGAUUUGAUCUAAUUUUUGCUUGAUUACGUAUAAAGAAUUAUAGAUAAAAUAUUGAUUAAAAAACAAAUAGAAAUUACCUCAUAAAAAAGUGGUUUAUAAAAUUCCAAAGAUCAAAGUGUGCCUGGUCUGCGUAUUCAUUUAGAAUCUAAGGAUAGUAUUUUGAUCUAAUCCGAAUUUUUUUUUUCUUUUGACUUUCAUUACCGUUGGGGUAUAGUUGAUAUAAUAAGAGUAAAAUAAUCAUUUAACUAUAAAUUCUAGUUAAUACACACAUAUACAUAUACAUAUACAUAUACAUAUAUGUAUACAUGUGUGUGUAUUAUGAUCAUCUAACUUCGAUCAAAGUUCAACUAAAUAUUAAAAUUUCCUUUUAUGUAAAAAUAUACUUAAAGGGUAUAGUGGCCUUUGUUAAAAAUGAUGGACCACUAAAAGAUUUCUCUAAAAUGAAUUCCAAAUAUUUAAAUAAUUUCAAUAGAUAAAGAAAAAAAAAAUGAGACAAAAAAGCACAAUUAAAUAUGGAGUUGUGUGUUGAAUAACUCUAGAUUAUGACAUGCAUGACAAACAAUAUUUUUCUAGAAAAGUUUCAAAAUUACAAUAUCAAACUUCAUUUCUUUCGAUACAAUUCUUUUUUAUUGUUAUUUAGACAAACGGCAAUUUAGUUUCUUUCACAUUUAGAUAAUUACGGUUCUAUUCUCAGACUUGUCGUUUUUACACAAAAAUUUUUACAAUCUCGCAAGUCAUUUAAAAUUAAAUUUCCAUAUAUUUACAGCAUUUACGAAUCAAAAUCAUCAUAGCAACUAAACUUUGAAUUCGUUUUUUUUUUUUUCAAGUAUAUUCGUUUCUAUUUCAGCCAAUUAUUUUCACAAAAUCAAUUAUCACAUUCAAUCCAACGCGAAACAGAACAAAUACAUGCAACAAAUUUGUACAAAUUCAUCUAUAGAAGUUGCGUAUUGGCUAAGUUAUUUGUGAGGGAGACCGAAAAAAACAAUGUUUUUAAAAUGGAAAUAAUAAAUACUUGGGAGGUUUCUAGGAAUUUCAUAUUAAUUUCUUAUCAUUGACCAAUUCUUCGAGUUUUUUGGAUAAUGACUGAUAAUUCCAAUGGGAAAUUUCGUAUGGUUUGGUCCAUUGAGUCGGUGGAAUUUGGUCUAAAAUUUGUCAAAUGCUAGUUCAAGAUAUUGGAUUGUCAAAUUUAUGAGUACAGCUAACGCAAAUCAAUCGCCUUCACCAUAGUUGUUACAUCUGUAUUUGAGCAUACAGUUUUAUUUUAAAUAUGAGAUUAUGAGGUAUGAUCCUCUCAUAAUCUUAAUUCUUCCAAAUUUUAAAAAUACAUAUGUGUGUAAUAUUAAUAAAAAAAAUUAUUUGAAAUUUAAGUUUCUUUAUAUUUUUAUUUACUAACCACUAAUCAUUUGUAUGUAUUUUACACAGAAAACAUUCAAAUUAUGACAUAAUCUUGACAUUUUAAACAAUGUUAAAAAUUUUAUAUCUUUUUCGUUAAAUAAUCAAAAUUGUGGGAAUAAAUCAAAACAAUGAUUAUUACAUUAAAUAUUAUCCAUGCAUAAAAUGAGCCUAAAAUAACAUUAAAAGAACAUAAUUGAGGUUCUAGAUGGUGUGAUAAAUUUUUCGAAAUACAGUAGUGUAUUAUUGAAAGAAAACAUUAAGGAUAUUUAUUUAAACAUUUAUUCAUAAAAGUUUUCAUAUUCCUUAAUUUUGAGUUUGGAUGGCGUACCGGCCAAAGAAUCUUCCAUGGAUAUUCCAAGCUACGUGUCCAAGCGAGCUGAAGUAGUUCAAACUUCAUAAUAAAGCAAUUGUUUUAACCAUUCUUCUGAUGACAUAUAAUUUUCAUUAGAGAAUAAUUGAUUAAUUUUAUUAUUAUGGUGUAACUAAGACCUAAUUUCAUGACACGUAGAUGAUGACUUUGAAGUUUCAAUUAAAACCGACGACUUAAUACCACUCAAUCAUAUACCAUGUUAAACCAUUGAAAGUCAUCUUUGAAAUAAAAUUAAUAGAAAGAUCGAUGAGAGUAGGCCUAACUUGAUUCAUAUUAUGUUAUUAUACAUUAUCUAUAAUAUCACUCAUCUAUGGGAUUAGGAUAUUAAAUAUUGAGUUAAUUUUUAAUUAAAAAAUUAAGAAGUAACGACAAUUAAGAUCUUUUGAGUUCCCAUUAAUUUUUAAAGAUCUUAUAUCAUGUAUCUUAUAAAAAUUAUGUAUGAUUAUAAUUUAUUUAUUUUAUUUAUUAAUCACUAAUCACUGAAUUUUUACUCACGAGAAAUUUUAGUUAAAAGAGAAUCCUAACCUGAAUUAAUUUUAGAUGGUCAAAAUUAAACCUAAUAAAAGGACACCUAAAGUAAAUUCAAUGUACGUGAGCUUUUUUUUUUUUUAAUACUGAUUAAUCAUCAUAUUACUGCAUUACACAGAUAUUUACAACUGCUAUUAUAGCAGAUAUAUUACACUGAUAUUUACAAUCAGAAAUACAUGAUUGGGACUUAUAUUAUUACAUUGAAUUCUGUGAAGUACAUACCCAGAUAAAUAAUCCCUUACAGAAGAGGGAUGUCCAUACUCCACUCGUAUUGCACGAGGGAGAGGAAAUUUUUGAAAUAUUAAACAAAUAAGCACGUUAGCCCCCACAAAUACUUUUGUGGGGGCUUGAACCGCUGCCCUCACAAUGCUUGUGAGGGCAGCAGCCCACCACUCCGACCAAGGCCGAAGUGGCGUACGUGAGCUUUUCCUAUAAAGAGUAGGAAAUAUUCGUGAUCAAUUUGAAAGCACCAUUUGAGGAUUAAAAAAGCUAGAAUACUUUUUAAC
rnacentral:lncRNA from 1 species